AGCAGUAUAGCUCAGUGGGAGAGUGCAUGCCUAGCAUGCACAAGGUCCUGGGUUCAAUCCCCAGUACUUCUU
rfam:Camelus ferus unplaced genomic scaffold scaffold1340, whole genome shotgun sequence.